AAUACAUGCAAGUCGAACGAACUCUGGUAUUGAUUGGUGCUUGCAUCAUGAUUUACAUUUGAGUGAGUGGCGAACUGGUGAGUAACACGUGGGAAACCUGCCCAGAAGCGGGGGAUAACACCUGGAAACAGAUGCUAAUACCGCAUAACAACUUGGACCGCAUGGUCCGAGUUUGAAAGAUGGCUUCGGCUAUCACUUUUGGAUGGUCCCGCGGCGUAUUAGCUAGAUGGUGGGGUAACGGCUCACCAUGGCAAUGAUACGUAGCCGACCUGAGAGGGUAAUCGGCCACAUUGGGACUGAGACACGGCCCAAACUCCUACGGGAGGCAGCAGUAGGGAAUCUUCCACAAUGGACGAAAGUCUGAUGGAGCAACGCCGCGUGAGUGAAGAAGGGUUUCGGCUCGUAAAACUCUGUUGUUAAAGAAGAACAUAUCUGAGAGUAACUGUUCAGGUAUUGACGGUAUUUAACCAGAAAGCCACGGCUAACUACGUGCCAGCAGCCGCGGUAAUACGUAGGUGGCAAGCGUUGUCCGGAUUUAUUGGGCGUAAAGCGAGCGCAGGCGGUUUUUUAAGUCUGAUGUGAAAGCCUUCGGCUCAACCGAAGAAGUGCAUCGGAAACUGGGAAACUUGAGUGCAGAAGAGGACAGUGGAACUCCAUGUGUAGCGGUGAAAUGCGUAGAUAUAUGGAAGAACACCAGUGGCGAAGGCGGCUGUCUGGUCUGUAACUGACGCUGAGGCUCGAAAGUAUGGGUAGCAAACAGGAUUAGAUACCCUGGUAGUCCAUACCGUAAACGAUGAAUGCUAAGUGUUGGAGGGUUUCCGCCCUUCAGUGCUGCAGCUAACGCAUUAAGCAUUCCGCCUGGGGAGUACGGCCGCAAGGCUGAAACUCAAAGGAAUUGACGGGGGCCCGCACAAGCGGUGGAGCAUGUGGUUUAAUUCGAAGCUACGCGAAGAACCUUACCAGGUCUUGACAUACUAUGCAAAUCUAAGAGAUUAGACGUUCCCUUCGGGGACAUGGAUACAGGUGGUGCAUGGUUGUCGUCAGCUCGUGUCGUGAGAUGUUGGGUUAAGUCCCGCAACGAGCGCAACCCUUAUUAUCAGUUGCCAGCAUUAAGUUGGGCACUCUGGUGAGACUGCCGGUGACAAACCGGAGGAAGGUGGGGAUGACGUCAAAUCAUCAUGCCCCUUAUGACCUGGGCUACACACGUGCUACAAUGGAUGGUACAACGAGUUGCGAACUCGCGAGAGUAAGCUAAUCUCUUAAAGCCAUUCUCAGUUCGGAUUGUAGGCUGCAACUCGCCUACAUGAAGUCGGAAUCGCUAGUAAUCGCGGAUCAGCAUGCCGCGGUGAAUACGUUCCCGGGCCUUGUACACACCGCCCGUCACACCAUGAGAGUUUGUAACACCCAAAGUCGGUGGGGUAACCUUUUAGGAACCAGCCGCCUAAGGUGGGACAGAUG
rnacentral:rRNA from 1 species